rnacentral:lncRNA from 1 species
UGCAUAUAUACCUUCAGUGCAUCACCAACAAUAACCACAAAGCAAUUCUGGGAUAUUUCUACGUCAACCCAUUUGCCUGAUUUGGAUAGCAUCUGCAAACCCUGAACUUCAUUUUGACACAAAACGGUUAAGGUGUUUUUGUCAGUGUGACCAUUGGAGGCANCCUUGUUUGCAUCAGUAUUGUACAUGUUCAAUCGUAUCUGGGUACAACUCUUCAUGUUUUCAACAUCUGAAAUGUAAUGUUGGGGAAGGUCAUAGCCCUCCACAAUCAUUUUCAAGACUAGUGAACUUAUUUCUGUCAUCUUUAAGCUCAUACCCUUUAGUACCUCACUGCAUGCAAUCAAAAUAGAACAUUAAACAAGGUGAUUUAUACGUGUGUGAUCUCUUAAAGAGUAACGGAACAACAACAAGGUCUUAAGUUAUGAUAAUUUAACUGAAUACUGGGAAGGAUCCGACAUGAAUUAAAAGAAUAAUACCAGAAAUUUGGAUUUCCUUGAGGCCACAUGAGGUUGGUGAAGGUCUCAACUGAUGUUGAGAGAAGAACAUCAUCGACUGCAAAGCAUUCUUUGACAGUGUUCAUAAACUUAUGGAUGUUGAAGCUACUGAAAGGCUUUGGAAUUAUGUGUUGUUGCUUUGUUUGCUGAGGCAAAUGAAAUAAUGUUUUGACACUCUUAAACAGCUCUUCAAUGGAUUUGACCUCAUCAUCACACCUCAAGAGGAAGAAACCAUCAUUCUCACAUGCUUCUCUCACUUUCAUACUCAUCUCUUUCCACUCUUCACUCCCUUCUUCUAGUGUCACCCCUCCCUUGCAAAAAUCAAAACAUGGUAGCACCAUAACCUCAUUCUCACAUGCCAUUUCCAUCUCUCUCUUUUUCCUUCUUGCUGACUAUUUCUCUCUGUUAUGUAGGGAUAUAGAUGGUGAUAGAGGUAAUAUAGUGCAACGAUAAGAGAGGAAGAUAUUAAUAAACAAGUUUUGAUAGAACCGAAAAACCCAUGUAUUGCGGGAAUUUAGAAUGUUGAUGGAACCUCCUCAUGUAAUGUCAAAACUAACUAUGUUAAAACAUUGGGCAAUAUUUUCUCUUUCACCCAAAAAAUACUAAAAUAGAACAUUGUUUUUUUAGGAAGCUCUUUUUAAUGCUUACGUAAGUUUACUUUUGGUAUAUAAUGCCGAUUAAGUGAGGAAAUGAAAUUGGAAAACGAAUCAUGCUAAAAUUAGAUAUUAAUUAUUUAAUUGGUCUAUUUCUUCUCUAAGCAAAAGUAAGAACGUGAGGAAAAAACAUACAGUACUACUUAGAUUUUCUUCUCAUUUCACAAGAGAGAAAACAAACGAAGAUUGUGAAAGAAAAAUAAUUUGAAUGUUUCUUAUUAUUUAUUAGAGAUAGGUGUAUAUGUACAAAAAUAUGAUCUAAAUCAUAUAUGGCAAAAAGUGCAAGUCACCGAAUAGGAAAAUUAAGAACAUUCAAUAAAGGUAAAAAAGGUUUUGCAUGCAAUUGAGAAGCAAACAAACAAGUUCAAUGCAGUCUAAUGAAAGCAGCAGAAUUUAAUCAUUCAUAAGUAUGAUCAACAGACUUUAAACUGAGAAAGACAUCACAUCAUACUUAAACUGGGAAUAUGAGGUAAUAUACUGGAAAUUACAAAAACAACCUCAAAGUAUUAUGCUGCAAUUAUACUCAUUUCAAAGUAUUGGAUUUAAUGGAAGGGCUGAUCAAUGAAGACUUUAAGUAGUAUAUCUGAUAUUAUAUUACUUAAGUUUUUUCUUUUUGUUAGGAACUUGAUUCUAACCCAUAAUUUUGUUAAGAACACCAGUAAACCAAGCAAACUAAAAUGCUCAAAAACAAAGCUUGUACACAAGUGAUUCUUCAAAAGUGUUACUUUUAUUCUUUCGCAGCAAAUCAGACGUUACUUUGAUGCAAAUACCGCAAAUCUUUUGCCUGUUCAAUAUAUCUAUCGAAAGAAAGUAGAAAGUACGAUUUCUUUGAUUAUGAUAAAAACAAACGAAACAGAGAGCACAAUUGAGCUCUUUGUCUGCUAAAAUACUAACCUAUGAAUUGUAAAAGCACUACAAAGAAAUGGAAAAAAAUUAUAUACCUUGAAAGAAUUUCUAAGUCUAUGACUUGGUACAGAAUUAGCGUUUUGGUAUGUUUUCCAUCUUGGAAAUCAUUUGUCAACAGUCUAAUUUUUAAAGCAUUCGAACAGACUGCUUUUAUAACGAUAGUGUGUAAUAUUUUACUUUGAAUAAUCUGAUAUUGUACCAUUUAAUAUUUGAAAAAUUAUGAAUUAAAAUUUGUCCAUAUUGAAUGACUAUAUUAAGGGAAAAAAUGUAUUUAUGUAUCUCUUAUUAAACUCGCAUAUUGAAUACGAUGUGAGAACCCAUUUCUUGAUCAAACGUGUUUGUAAUUGAAUAGAUAAAAUUAUAAUAAAACAAUACCAAAAAUAUCGAACCAACAAAAUUUCACACACACACAUAUAUAAUAAAUAUCGUGACAGUUGUUUUAGGUCGAAAAUGUAACGUAACAUUACAAUAAAUAACAUCGAAAUGCUCAUAGAAACAAUUUCAAAUUAGCAAUUAACCAUGGUAAAUAGCGUCUGUAUCAAAGUCUAUUAUGCAGCAAUUAUAAAUAUCCCGUGUUCCAAAAUUGGAGCCAGUUACUUUUCUGGAUUUGUGAUAUUAACAACAAUAUAAGAAAUUAAACAAUCACAGUCAAUUAUAUUAUGUAUUCAAGUUGAAGAGCAGGGUUAUCUGUCAAUCUCUGUUUGGUGUAAGCACUUUCUAAGUAUUUGUAGAUAUUGAACUUGGUCAUUUUAGCCUAUAAAAUUUAUCUUUUGACAUAUCUGCCAAAACAAGUUGUCGGGAAUUUAAGAACUUAUAGUAACAAGGUUGAAAAUAUUGUGUUCCCAAACACAUGUUCCAGUCUCUCAAAGAAUGGUGGAACCUAGCAGAGACUAAAAUAGUGUUCUCAACUGGGAAAGGUACAGAGUUUCUCAACCAGAAAAUGAGUCACAGGUAUCAUCAUAAAUCACUUACCCCAAAUCAACUUUGUAAGUGUAAGUCUUCAGAAACUUCCCAGUUGAAUAGUUCCAAAGCCUCUGCAGGAAAAGAAAAAUUCCCAUGUAAGAAUGACCAAAACAUUGAAUGGUGAAGCAAGAAAAAAACUAGUAGCCGAGUAAGGUACCAAAUUAACUGCAACUGAGUGAAUAAUAACAUGAAAAAACUAAUCAAAUUAGUCAUUUGCCAUUACAUGCGAAUAGUACAUCACAAACUAAAGCUCAUCAGAGAAAAAAAUAAACCCGUUCUAGUUCAUGAAAUUGAAGUGUUGGUCAUAGUUUCUAAUAUAAAAAUAUCCUCCUAAUUAGUCAGUCAUAGAAAAUGUCGUUCACUUUUUAGUGAAAAAAAAAAUGUAAUGAUAUUUAAGGAGUGAAAACUAAAUUGAAAAUUUUGCUGGCUUGUUUUUUCUCUUUAUAUUUUUAAAGCCAGAGAUCCAAAAAUCUAUGUACAGUUUUUCAAAAAGAAAAAUCCAAUGGAGCAGAUGAGUACAAUCCCUAUUCAUCGAAUCGCAUAAUCCUGAUUCCUUAAAUCCAUAAUAUACAAUAAGCCUGCCAUUUUCCACGGGUUCAGAAGGACAAAACAGAAGUGUUAUGACACUAGACAAUAGUAACUUGGUUGAAGUCAAGACCAAAGCGUAAGUAACAACAGAACCCUGAAAGAUUGAGCUAAGAACUCGAAAUUGAAUUUUCAACAGAAAAGCAAUACACAGUUUCAAAAGUUGCAGACAUAUUCAUCACGCAAGCAAAACACACCAAACCAGAAAUUAACCGUAUGCCUUAUUUCUAUAAAUUUCUCAAUAAGUGCGUAUAGGAGAAGAAAACGCAAAACUAAAUCGAAUUAAGGUACUUAGGUUAGUUAAAACUAACCUUCCAAAGAACCUAGGUUAACUCUUACCUCCACUCCUAUGGAGCUUUCUUUGAAGCGGAUCAAAUCACUGACCGGAACAAACACUGAGGAAAUCCAUUUAAAUUGGUGAAAAAUGAAGGAAAAGACAAAACAAUCGGUCAAAGAGUAAGAAGAUGAAGAUACGAAAAAACUCUAGCAGUUGAAGGUAAAAGAUGCAGGUGAAAUUGAACUGUGAUUCAACGAGAUGAUGGAGAGACACGAGAAAUGGAGAAAAGAGAAACGCUCGUGAGCCUACUGAGAAAUUAUAAAAGAAAAAAUAUUUUUAAUUUAUCUUUGUUUUGAUAAAAUCGUUGAAAAUUUGUGAAGGUUUUUAUAAAACUGUUGGAAAUUUCUAAAAUUUCUAAAAGUUUUUAAAAUCAUCAUCUUCUAAAAUACAUUAUUUUUGUACUGUGACGUGUUUUUUAAAUUAAUGUGUUAAUUUAUUUUGGAAAUUACAAAUCUGAGUUUGAUUUUAUAUUUAUUAUUGAAAGGAUUAAAUCAUAUAGUUAAUGUAUGUAUGCAUGACUUCUUAAUAAUAAUGAAGUUAUCUAUGUUUUUUAAUGGUUCAUGCAAGAUUAAAUUUAAUUAAUCAUGAAUUAACUUCAAAAUAAUCACCUUAAAGUAAAUUUGUAUUUAGAUUUUAACAAUUUCAAGCUAAAUAAAGUUAGGAAAGAAAGAUUCUUGUGACUUCUCUUAAGGAUAAUUUUUUAUUAAGUCAUAUUAUAAUUUUUACUGAAUUGAAAUCAUAUUUAAGGCUGCCGACUUCAACUUAAUUUCAAUUUCAACUUAAGCCAUGUCACAUGUUAGUGACUUAUAUGUAAAAUAUUUGAACUGAAUUCGUCAACUUUGUAGAUCUUAAAUUCAAAAAAGUCGUCAAAUGCUAUACAACAUCAGUUAAACAUUAUCUUUAAGAAAAGACAUAAAAAACUUUCAAGAUUAUAGUGAUUUAUGUUGAAAUAGUCAAAUUUAGAUACAACUUUACUUCAAGUGAUUAUUUUGAAUUUAAAGUUAAUUCAUAAUUAAUUAAAUUUAACCUUGCAUAAAUUAUUAAACACGAGAGAACGACUUAAUAGUUGUGUAUGCAUUUUACAAUUUUUAUUAAAACGAAAUGAUGAUCACGGAAUUUAAAGUCAAACCCUGUAAUUUCCAAAAUAAAUUAAGCCACGUAUGAAAGAAAAAGAAAACUGUCAUACGCAAAUGGCUUUUCUUUUACAUGUAACUUAUUUACACAUAAUUGUUUUUAGAUAUGAGAAUUAUUUUGUCAAUUCAAGAGUUUAUUAGUAUAUAUAUAAUAUACACAUAUUUACCAGACUUUAUGAAUGCUUCUUUUUUUUAUUAGUAUAUAUAUAAUAUACACAUACUAUAUCUAUACACUUAUCCAAAGUGUUAUAAUUAGUACAUACAUAUUAUAUAUGUACUUCUCAAAAGUGUUAUAAUUAAUUUAUAUCCUAAUAUAUAAUCAACUUGGCAUUCAUAUUUUUUUUUAAAGUAUAGGUUGCAAAUUAUUUUAGUUAUGUUAACAAAAUUGUAAAUAAACUAAAAGAAUAUUUAUAUUACUUUUUAAUCUAAAUUUUUAAUAUUUAUUACAAAGGACUUUUUGUAUUUUGUUCCGUGGUAUAAACACAAUGGAAGAUAUAAAACAUAUUUAUUUGAGAAAUUUCAUAGAUAUCACAAUGGAAUUCAUCUUAUUGAAAAGGAGAUGUAAUUAUAUUAGCAAUCUCCUAUUUAUUUUGACUUGAUCUGGUACAUUCAUAUAUAAUUAUGAAUUGUUUUCAAAGACCAACAAAUACAUCAACUGCAUUAUGGUUGCGAGUUGAAACAAAGUGAUUGAUAAACUCUCCAUAAUGAAAUGGACGAUAACGAAGAGGAUGAAUUUUGUCAUCUACUAACUCACCAGGCACCUCAAUCUUCAUCUCGUCCUUUGGUGCCACAAAAUUUCCAAAAGUGAAUCUCUCUUUCUCUCCAUUCAUCAUCACUCUAUGUGUUGCUGCAUGAAUCCUUCCGUUGCUCCAUGCCUAUUUAUUCACGUAACAUAUAACUAUAAUUAUUCAAUACAUAUAUAACAACAAUUUCAAUUAAUUAAUUUUGUGCAUAUAUACCUUCAGUGCAUCACCAACAAUAACCACAAAGCAAUUCUGGGGUAUUUCUAUGUCAACCCAUUUGCCCGAUUUUGAUAGCAUCUGCAAACCCUGAACUUCAUUUUGGCACAAAACGGUUAAGGUGUCUUUGUCAGUGUGACCAUUGGAGGCANCCUUGUUUGCAUCAGUAUUGUACAUGUUCAAUCGUAUCUGGGUACAACUCUUCAUGUUUUCAACAUCUGAAAUGUAAUGUUGGGGAAGGUCAUAGCCCUCCACAAUCAUUUUCAAGACU